rnacentral:rRNA from 1 species
UCGAGAAUUUUUCACAAUGGGCGAAAGCCUGAUGGAGCGACGCCGCGUGGGGGAUGAAUGGCUUCGGCCCGUAAACCCCUGUCAUUCGCGAUCAAACCUUAUUAUUUAAAAGAUGAUAAGCUGAUAGUAGCGGAAGAGGAAGGGACGGCUAACUCUGUGCCAGCAGCCGCGGUAAUACAGAGGUCCCAAGCGUUGUUCGGAUUCACUGGGCGUAAAGGGUGCGUAGGUGGUGAGGUAAGUCGGAUGUGAAAGCGCGGAGCUCAACUCCGAAAUGGCAUUGGAAACUGCGUUGCUAGAGGGUCGGAGGGGGGACUGGAAUGCUCGGUGUAGCAGUGAAAUGCGUAGAUAUCGAGAGGAACACCAGUGGCGAAGGCGAGUCCCUGGACGACUCCUGACACUGAGGCACGAAAGCUAGGGGAGCAAACA